GACGAACGCUGGCGGCGUGCUUAACACAUGCAAGUCGAACGGGUCUGCCCUGUUUUUUGCGGGGUGGGUCAGUGGCGAACGGGUGAGUAACACGUGAGUAACCUGCCCCUCACUUCUGGAUAACCGCUUGAAAGGGUGGCUAAUACGGGGUGUUCUGGCUGUGCCGCAUGGUGUGGCUGGGAAAGAUUCACUUUUGUGGUGUUUUGGUGGGGGAUGGGCUUGCGGCCUAUCAGCUUGUUGGUGGGGUGAUGGCCUGCCAAGGCUUUGACGGGUAGCCGGCCUGAGAGGGUGGGCGGUCACACUGGGACUGAGAUACGGCCCAGACUCCUGCGGGAGGCAGCAGUGGGGGGUAUUGCACAAUGGGCGGAAGCCUGAUGCAGCGACGUCGCGUGAGGGAUGGAGGCCUUCGGGUUGUGAACCUCUUCCGCCGGUGAAGAAGGUCCUGCUCUUUGUGGUGGGGUUGACGGUAGCCGGGUUAUGAAGCGCCGGCUAACUACGU
rnacentral:rRNA from 1 species